rnacentral:rRNA from 1 species
AUUGAACGCUGGCGGCAGGCCUAACACAUGCAAGUCGAACGGUAACAGGAAGAAGCUUGCUUCUUUGCUGACGAGUGGCGGACGGGUGAGUAAUGUCUGGGAAACUGCCUGAUGGAGGGGGAUAACUACUGGAAACGGUAGCUAAUACCGCAUAAUGUCGCAAGACCAAAGAGGGGGACCUUCGGGCCUCUUGCCAUCGGAUGUGCCCAGAUGGGAUUAGCUAGUAGGUGGGGUAACGGCUCACCUAGGCGACGAUCCCUAGCUGGUCUGAGAGGAUGACCAGCCACACUGGGACUGAGACACGGUCCAGACUCCUACGGGAGGCAGCAGUGGGGAAUAUUGCACAAUGGGCGCAAGCCUGAUGCAGCUAUGCCGCGUGUAUGAAGAAGGCCUUCGGGUUGUAAAGUACUUUCAGCGGGGAGGAAGGGAGUAAAGUUAAUACCUUUGCUCAUUGACGUUACCCGCAGAAGAAGCACCGGCUAACUCCGUG